rnacentral:tRNA from 1 species
UGCGGCAUAGUGUAAAGGUAGCACGCAAAACUUUGACUUUUGACGUAGAGGUUCAAUCCCUUUUGCCGCAA